GGCAAGUUUGUCAGUCAAGGGUUGGUGAGGUUUGGCUUAUGAACAGAGGCCCUCAGGCAGUGGUCGCUAAGGUCGGUUUUUCAACACGGGUCAUUCUGCCAGCAUCCAGGAGAAAAGCAACGUUUCUAUUCCAAUUCCCUGUUCUGUGAAAAUCUGUUCCUGCAAAAGGGUUAGAGGGACAGAAACAAGAAUAAUUUGCCAUCUGGGAAGCGACUUCUGUGAGCCGUUUAAUUGCAGCACCUGAAAAGUGAGGCAUAUGCAAUGCCAGUGUCACAUGCAGGAGUUAAGAGAGAAAACCUUACAGAGGCAAAAAGCAUCAUGUAAUUAAGAAACUAAAUAACUGUAGAAAUCUAAUAUUGAGUGAAAUGAAAGAAAGCUUUUGGAGUGGACUUCCACACAACUAGAAUCAUCAAAUCACUCAAGUUUGUCAAUAAACGAGGAGGAGUGUGAAAACUGCUGGGGAGAUUCUUCUCUACCAGUUCAGUGUAACCAGAUGGGUGUUGGGAAAUGAAGAGAGUGUGGAGCUGCAGUGUACCUCUUUCAGCAUAUAGGCUAUAGGAUCUGAUAUAAGCUUUAUUAACUGAGCUCAGGAAGAAGAUCUGGAAGCCCACGUCCAUCACACUCGCACAUCUCGGCAUUCUCUCGGUUUUUUGUUAACUGCCCACUGCAGAAGAAGAUGCGAGACAGGCAUGCACCACGACAUCCCAGAAAACAUCAGUGCCUGCCCAUUUCAGAGGAACUUUGGUGAGCGUCAAUCACGACCCAUAGUCUGUACUCCCGCAGGAAUGGGAGGGAGUAUAGACAUCUACAAUAUAGCAUCUACUUGGAAAUUCAUAACUCCCAAGCUGAGGUGUUAGGAAUACACACAAUUAAGGUCUUUUCCAGGACAUGCCUCCCCUUUAUUAUUAAAAGAAGAUAAAAGGAGUGCUGGGAGACCUUGUGCAGGCCGGCUGAGCCUCGCUUUCCCACUGGUGGGAAUGUCUGGAUGUUUCAUCCUCUCACAGCCGCUUCUGGACCCUGAGGAUCCCCGACCCUCCUGGAACACUGUGGCCGCCAUCUCAUGCAGGGUACCCUGGGCAUAGGAUGAGGAGGAGCUGGAGUCUGGGGUAGAUGAGAGGAGGUGGAGGGCAGUCCCUGUGCCCAAGGGCAGCAGAAAGGGAGCAGGAAGUGAUACCCAGGAAAGGGGCUUUCAGCCCCCCUGAUCCUCUUUGUCCCACGUUAGGGCGUCUCUCAGGCCACAGGUACCCCAUCUCCCCAAACAGCCAUAUUUGGCCACAUACGUCCGCCAUCACCACAGUGGCCUCCUGAUGUCAUGAACCACCUCACUGCAUUCUGUUCCGGGCCCUAAUAAAUAAAGGGACCUUAGUUGCUGACCCACAGUUCUCCAAGCCUCAAGGCCCUCAGAUUUCAAGGAUGCUUGUUAUCAAGAAGUCUCAGAGCAGCAAGACAGGUGGCUGCUCACCUUCGUGUGGGGCUGCAGAGACAUGGCUGCAGGAACCAUGGAGGAAGAUGAGGCAGCAUCAGAGGGUGGACACCACUAGCCGCAUGGUAGCAAUGUCCAUCGCUCGUGUGGCUGAUGAUGUGGAGCCAGUGGAGGUGGAUACACUUGAAGGUCAGGAAGAGCUAAUGGAAGUGGAUCCACCUCCAGUAUGGCUCACCUGGUACCUCUGCACUGUUCCAGGGUUCCAGUUCAUCAUGCCAUGGCAGCAGCAUAGCAGGAGCACCCAGCCAGUGUUCCACCAUCAGCCUAGCCUCCCUCCGCCUUUGGCAUUAGCCGGGAGGCCUGGCCUUCACACCAGCCAUCCUGUGGGCUCACCUGUAAAACUCAGCAAUCAGCAAUUAUUCUGUUGACUGCCCCAGGUGGUGUGAGCCCUUCUUUCCCAUUCUUCACCCCCACCCAUUCCAAAGGGGUGCCAUCUCUCUGGUCUGAGCUCCAAGAAGAGGGGAUGAGGUGACCUGUCUUCCACCAGCCUGCUGUGUCAGGGCAACAGGGGCCAUCCCUCACAGGGCCACUGAGGUACAUAGACGCUGGAGAUGGGGUUUCCUCAGUCUAAGGAUGACAAGGCUGCCCAGUGGGUGCUUGAAGAUUAAGCCAGACCUUCUGUGGCAGCAGUACACAAAAAUUAGCCACAAGUGAAGCAAAGAAGUUGGAGAGACAGCUACUCCUUUAGAGAAGCAGAAGACUGCAGUUCUGCCAAGAAAAAGUGCUGGCCUUCAGCAUUAAGGUCCCUCCUAGCUGCUCCUAUAGGAGUUCUUUUCAAGAUGAAGCAAACAAUUUAAAACACAAUAAAACAAGGAAAAAGAGUAAAAAAA